UACGAAGGGUGCAAGCGUUACUCGGAAUUACUGGGCGUAAAGCGUGCGUAGGUGGUUCGUUAAGUCUGAUGUGAAAGCCCUGGGCUCAACCUGGGAAUUGCAUUGGAUACUGGCGAGCUAGAGUACGGUAGAGGGGGAUGGAAUUCCGCGUGUAGCAGUGAAAUGCGUAGAUAUGCGGAGGAACACCGAUGGCGAAGGCAAUCCCCUGGACCUGUACUGACGCUCAUGCACGAAAGCGUGGGGAGCAAACAGG
rnacentral:rRNA from 1 species